rnacentral:lncRNA from 1 species
CUUUGGCCUCUCCUCCGAUUGACAGGAUGCUGAAGCUACACUAUUGCUGAUGGCCCCUUGGCUAGCUUCUCUUAUCGGAUUGGCAGGCUGUUGCAGCUACCAACCAAAUACAUCCACACAGGUUUGUAUGCAGCUCCCACAAGGACCUAGGCACACACAAAUGGCCAGCAUAGUUAGCACCAAUUAACAGGGGCCAAAAUAAGCAGACAUGCCACACACAAAAAGAAUCAAACGACAGUUUAUCACUGGAACAGAGACAUAGAAGAGAGCCAAAAAUCCCCCAUGGCUUUGUCGAUGGGGGAUGAUCACAGCAAUCUGGACGCUGCAUGUAUCUCUAGAUGGAUAAUGGCAACAAAAAACACAUGCGAGCAACCAAAAGAAAGAGAACAUCGUAAAUAAAAUCAAAAUAAGGGUGCAAACAUAAAAGCAAUUCAAAUAAAGUAGCAUGGAUCCUAUCUCAGAUAUUUCCCAAGGCAAACCAUAUUUCAAUAUCCCAAAGAGAAAGAUUAGAAAUGUGUCAUCACAAGAAAAUUGCUCAGUGGAUGCAUGGCAGCAUACUAUCAGCAAACAUACCCAGCAACCUGAGAUUAAUACUCACAAUUCAAGAGCUUCCAUGAAAGUUGUGAAUUUAUACAAACAGAAAGGUAUAUAGGACUUGAUACUAACUUAGAAUCACAAGAUUCAACCGAUUUUGUAAAGGAAAUGGCAAAGAACCAUGACCUAUCAUCACCUGAGGGUUCUUCCCGUAAGUAGAACAACGUUCACGCUUAGCAUGCUUAUUUCAGAAAGCUAUCUCCGCUAGUAGUUGGUAGUAAGUUAAGAACCAAUAGACUGCAUUAAAGAUACUUGAAAAAAGGGCACACAUUAGGUGUUUUGAAUCUUGGGUAAAAAUGGUAGUACGAACAAUAAUAAUGGAGAUAAUCAUCUUUCGUAUACAGGUACAUUCAAAACACAUAUAGUAUAGUGGGAUAGAAAUAUUGAGAAACAACAACAGCAAAGGCAAACUACAUCUAUGACCAUGAGCCAUAAUAGGGAAACCCAUCAGGCAAAUAUAUUGUUUGUAAGGGCCUAUCCUGCAAUUUAAAAGACAUGUAAUGAAGAAAACAGAUGCUGAAAGACUAACCUCAACCAGCGUCAUGGGCUGCGGAAAUAGCUGUUAAUCAGCCAAAGGAGCAAGGUGGAGCAAUCGAGCGAAAGGGAGGGAGGUCCACACAUUUGCAGAUGAACCAGUGAC